UACGGAGGGUGCAAGCGUUAUCCGGAUUUACUGGGUUUAAAGGGUGUGUAGGCGGGCUUUUGAGUCAGUGGUGAAAUCUCCGGGCUCAACCCGGAAACUGCCAUUGAUACUAUUAGUCUUGAAUUUUGUUGAGGUAGGCGGAAUAAGUCAUGUAGCGGUGAAAUGCUUAGAUAUGACUUAGAACACCAAUUGCGAAGGCAGCUUGCUAAACAAACAUUGACGCUGAGGCACGAAAGCGUGGGGAUCAAACAGG
rnacentral:rRNA from 1 species